rnacentral:lncRNA from 1 species
AGGCUUGAUCUACUGUGCUGGGAGGUCUACUCAUAUGAGAUUGCUGAAAUCAAAAUUCCUGACUCUUGAGUUCCACAUGCAGAAAUUCUGUAACCCUUACUAUGUAGAUAAUCACUAUUCUUAAAAACCUCUGCUCUCUCCAACACUUUUACCCAACAAAUUAAUGCUUUUUAUUUACCUAUCUGCAGCAUACAAACCAUUGAAUUUUCUGUAAUUUUCCUUUGCUGGAUUAAUAAAAGCAUUCCUAGGACUCUAUGAAUGAAGGUCUUGGAUCUCAAGCCUGGUAUCUCUUCAUUUGCCUUUCUGAAGGUUGGGGAGUCUAAAAUCAAGGUGCUGACAGGUUUGGCAGAUGAAGAUUGCUCAGAGCUUUCAAGAUUGCUCUCAUGUCUGCAACCAAAACCACCAGAGGGAAAGUAUACUACAUCCUCACAUAGCAGAAUGUGGAAGAGCAAGCUAAUGAACACUACUUAUGGUCUUCUUUGUAAAGAGUCCCAAUCCAUUCACUAGCUAGGAGCCCAAAUGACCCAAUCACCAGUUAAAGAUCCCACCUCUCAAUGCCAUCACAAUGACAACACUUGAAUUUUUGAAGGGACACAUUAAAACCAUAGCAAGCAUUAACUUGUUCUUGAGGGCGUGUACCCUUCACUGCCACACAGUGUGGAUAGAGAGGGAAAAGAAAGAGGGGGAAAAAGGGGAUAGCUUCACCUAAGAAUGCUUUUGAUGAAAUAGUACUGAUUUUUUAUUGUACCAUCAACUUAUGAGUUUAUGUUUUUAUUAUAUUCUAGUUGAUAAAAUAAGAAAUAUACAUAAAGCACAUUGUCACACGAUGUAAAGCUUUGUUGUUUGCACAAUUAUUUGUGAUGCACGUUUACGUAACCACUUUUUCCAUGGAACACCAUUUUUACUAAAGAGAACAACUAAUAGACAAGCUAUCAUCACGCAAAUUGGUUAGGUGGCAAAUAUUUUCUUGAAAAGUUCACAAAAUGAGCCCAUCACUUCAAGAAAAAGAAAUCACAGAAAUUUAUGCUAAUGAUAAUAUUCAAGAUUUCAAAGGGGAAUUAGAAUUUUGGGAGACUCAGCUCAACUAUUGUGAUCUUGACAGCUUCCUAAUACAAGCUUUUUUGAUGAAAUUGGUGAUGAUAUUAGUGAUUGUGAUUUUUUAAAUUUAAUAAAAUGUGUCAAUGCCU